CUUCAGGCCAUCUGGAUGUAUACGUGCAAGUCACAGGGGAUGUGAUGGCUUGGCUUGGGAUCAGAGACCUGACAGUUAUCAUCCUUGUGGCAUCUUCAAAUUCAGAGAAUCCUUCUGGAUUUUUGGACUUUUUUCUCCCUCAACGUGGAUUAAAUGUUGGACUUUUCUCACUCAACUUGGAUUGAAUGUUGUCAUAGAGAUCUAACAGCAAGUGAACUAAUGCUGAUUCAAAGACACCAAGAGAGGGGGCGAAAUGGAAGGUGUGAAAUCACAGAAACCAAGGGAAUGAAAAACUGCAAAUAAAUAAGCCAUCACUUGAUAUCCUGCUACAUCUCCAGGAAUAAAAAGCUGGAAAUAAAUAAGCCAGCCAAGAAGAUUGAUACAUGACUGGAGCCUGAAUGGUAGAACUUUUUCAGAAGUGAGGAGUCUGUUGGCCCAGAAGAUCUGCGGUAAGAUCUGCCUCAACAUACCUUACUCAUUUUUUUCAAAGAGACUCUAGAGUCUAAAAUGAACAACCAAUCAAUUCUACAAACAUUGCAUCAUGAGGAGUUGCUGCACCUCUUCUCCAGGAUUUGCAAAACGUGUAGUCCAAAUCGAGUUCGGCUAGAACUGGUCUGUCAUCAAGAUAUGGCUCAUGAAAGAGAUUGGUGUUUAGGAGGCUGGGAAAAGGAAAUAUUUUGAGAGACUUCAUGUGCUCCGCACAUGGAGGUGGCUUCCUUUUGCCUCAGGUGAAGGGAGCUUCAACAAGAUCACUCAGAGUUUGAUCAAUGAUCUUAGAAUUUGCAGAACAUAGGGACUGCCAUUUGACUCACCCUUUAGAAGUCAGGAGGAAAGGUUACGUGGCUGGCACUUCUCAUGUCUGGGAAGGAACAACUGUGAAGUGCUGACCUAGACGAAUGUUGCACUUCCGCUGAUGAGUAGGCAAUGGCGAAUGUUUUCCAGGGUCCAAAUGUGGACCCGGCAACAGAGAGGCUGUCUGUAAUCACUUUAUAAGAGACACUAACAACAAUGACCACUGGGACUAAAGAGAGCACAACGGAAGUAGUUCUGCCAGAAGGGCUGAGGAGAGGGCUGAGCAACCACCCUCAGGGGAGGCAGACCCACAUCAAAGACAUCUCAGCAGUCCCUUUCCCAUGAAAGAAAGAGCUAGAAAUUGUCCAUUUGACACACACACAAACCAGAUCCCAGAUUGCAAUUGAUUCAGAUAAUGAAAAGCUUGUUCUUUUCACUUGCUGUUCUAGCCUAACCAUGUAGGUGUCAGAAGCAGUUGUAGGCUAGGAGAGAAGUCGGAGCAAUACAGAAGCCAGUUCUGCCUUUGCCUCAAGAUCCACUGUCCACUCAGAGGCAGGCUGGCACAUGGGGGAUGAGAACAUUCCAAGAAAGAUGUGAAUCUGGAAUUUUCAUUUAUGCAGUAGAUGGGGAUUUACUACUGAAAGGAACAUGUUUUGGCAACUAAUAGUGACCAAAAGAAUUUGUACUUACUAAAAAUUAUCUUAAAAGCAUGGGAUUACCCUAGCAUUUUGUUUCAGAAACUGAAAUUAACAGAAAACUAUAAAAUUACUUUCUGCCUGAAACCUAAGAAGGUGAACUCAUGCCAGAAACCAGUUACAUUCACAAUUACCUGGAUUUUGUUAUUUCCUACAAUGAAUAAAACUUAUUAUAAAGCAGAAAAGC
rnacentral:lncRNA from 1 species